rnacentral:rRNA from 1 species
UACGGAGGGUGCGAGCGUUGUCCGGAAUCACUGGGCGUAAAGGGCGCGUAGGCGGCUCAUGAAGGCUGUGGUGAAAGUCCGGGGCUCAACCUCGGAUCGGCCGUGGCGACUCGUGGGCUGGAGCACUGUAGAGGCGGGUGGAAUUCCGGGUGUAGCGGUGGAAUGCGUAGAGAUCCGGAAGAACACCAGUGGCGAAGGCGGCCCGCUGGGCAGUGGCUGACGCUGAAGCGCGACGGCGUGGGGAGCAAACGAGGAAUUGAUA